AAAUUAUAGUGUUAAAGAUAUUAUUAUUUAGUGAUUAUGUAUGAUGGAUCUCAUGACGAUGGUAGAAUAAAUGAAAAAGAAGCACGUAAGAACAUGAUUAUUGGGAGAUUCUUAGGGCGAUGUUCUUAGCGGAAUAUAAGAAUCCGUCUCUUAACUUUUAACUAAAAAAACUAAGAACUGACUCUUAAAUAGACAGAUUUUUAUAUUCCGCUAAGAACCUCGCUUUAAGAACUUCAUAAUAAUCAUGCUCUAAGAAAAUAUAAAAAAGGGAAGGAUACGAUGAAGAAAUAGAAGGUAAAGAUAAUUGAAUAAAACCAUCAUUACAUUUAUGUCACCUCAUAAACUUCCCACUUUUGACUUGUGCUAUCAAUAGGGGCAACGAUGUCGAUAUCAUUCUAUGCUGUUAUUGGAUUGGGCUUUGGCACUACUUGUCUAUUCUUGCUUUUUUGCAAAUUUCAACUUAUUAUGUAUUUUUAUGCCAAUUGCUGACUUGUAUUUUAGUAGAUAAGACCACCUCCAUUGGGGGUCUCCUAAGGAGAGUUUCAAGCAAAAAGAAAAAAAAAUAAAUGAAAAAGGGGAAAAAAAAGAAAGAACCGGGUCUUUAAAUGGGCUUUCUAGAAUUGGUAAGGAACCCUAACGUGGCAGUCUCCUAUUCGGCCACCCCUUAAUGUCUCUCUCUCCUUGGACUCACGAAAUCAGUCGGCUUCUUCCUCCUCCAUUUUCUGUUGAUUGAUUUUGGAAACGACGAGUGGUUUCCGAGAUGUUUAUUCGUCGAGUGGGUCUGUGAAUGUGAUGAUCGGAGUAUCACCACCAGCUGAAGAAGGAGACGACAACGCCGCCGCCGCCGCUCUAUCGUCGGAGGAUUCUUAUUCUCCCAACAAGUCAGUGAGAGUAGCAGAGCUCGACUUAGCUCUGGGUCUUAGCAUUGGUAGGAAUCACUCAAAGGUAAUUAGUGGAAUCAAUCAGUGAUCAAGCUGUGGGCUGGAGCCAGGGAACCCAUUCUCUGUCAGAAACGGAUUCACCAUCAUCAAAGCAUCCCUGUUUCAUUUGAUUUGGGAAGAGGUUAGUAUACUUUUCUUUUAAGAGAAUGUAGGUAUCGAUUAGGUUUGGAAUUAAAUGGAAUUUAGUGUUAUGGUUUGUGUUAGUUGCGGUGAAGUGAUUGGCAUUAGUUUGAGUUGCGGUGAAGUGAUUGCCAUUAGUUUGUAUCGUGUCCGAGUUAAUGCUUUGUCGAGUCUGUAACAUUGUGAUCUUUCUCAUUAAGUUUUAUAUGAAAUUGUUUUGUCUUCUAUGUAAUAACAUUGUGAUCUUUCUCACUGUCUGCUCAUGUUUCAUAUUUUUCAUAAUGUAUCGAGUGGUGAGUCACCAUAGAGUUCAUAUCUUUAACAUAUC